ensembl:rRNA 5S_rRNA 5S ribosomal RNA
GACUACAGCCAUACACCCUGAACGCACCCAAUCUCAUCUGAUCUUGGAAGCUAAGCAGGGUUCGGCCUGGUUAGUACUUGAUGGGAGACAGUUGAAGCUUAAGAAGGCAACAGAAGAGA